UUGCCUACAAUGAAAAGGAGAAGAGAACGCGUUAAGUGGUAAGCAGAAGGAAAACUCCCACUGAAUUAUGCCCAACUACACAGUCCAGCUUUACUGAUUUAUCUACUAAUUUAAGCUCCAGUCACCAUGGAUAGGUUUGUCAUUCUGAUACCACUGCCACAAUGAAAUGAGAUGUUCACCUCAAGAAAAAGCCCAUGGACAAGGCUGCUUGGCUAUUCCUCUCCAAUACAGGAUACACUGGUGAACACAGGCAAAUACAGUUCAUUUUCUAUAGCACUGGGGAAGAGAGGUGGUAUGCCCCAGAAAAA